rnacentral:rRNA from 1 species
UACGAACCGAGCGAACGUUGUUCGGAAUCACUGGGCUUAAAGGGCGCGUAGGCGGCCUGCCAAGUCAGGAGUGAAAUCUUUCGGCUCAACCGGAAAAGUGCUUUUGAUACUGGCGGGCUAGAGGGAGAUAGGGGCAUGUGGAACUUCCGGCGGAGCGGUGAAAUGCGUUGAUAUCGGAAGGAACGCCGGUGGCGAAAGCGACGUGCUGGACCUCUUCUGACGCUGAGGCGCGAAAGCCAGGGGAGCGAACGGG